rnacentral:rRNA from 1 species
GAGUUUGAUUCCUGGUUCAGGAAGAAACGUUUAGCGGCCAGGUUUUACACCAUGCAAGUUGGAGGGGCAGCAUUUCCACCAAUGGAUGAUGGCGACCGGCGGAAGGGUGCGUUAACGCGUGAGCAACAUGCCCUAUACAGGGAGAUACACCAGGGAAACUUGGUCUAAUAUCCCAUAGCAUUCAUUGAAGGCAUCUUUAAUGAAUUAAAGCUUCGGUGGUAUAGGAUUGGCUCGCGUGACAUUAGCCAGAUGGUGAGGUAACGGCUCACCAUAGCAAUGAUGUCUAGGGGUUUUGAGAGGAAGGCCCCCCACACUGGGACUGAGACACGGCCCAGACUCCUACGGGAGGCAGCAGUGAGGAAUAUUGGACAAUGGAUGGAAAUCUGAUCCAGCCAUGCCGCGUGCAGGAAGACGGCCUUAUGGGUUGUAAACUGCUUUUAUACGGGAGCAAUAAGGGUUACGAGUAAUCCGAUGAGAGUACUGUAUGAAUAAGGAUCGGCUAACUCCGUGCCAGCAGCCGCGGUAAUACGGAGGAUCCGAGCGUUAUCCGGAAUUAUUGGGUUUAAAGGGUGCGUAGGCGGCCAUUUAAGUCAGCGGUGAAAUUUUGCAGCUUAACUGUAACAGUGCCGUUGAUACUGUUUGGCUAGGAUUUGGUUGUAGUGUGCGGAAUGUGUGGUGUAGCGGUGAAAUGCUUAGAUAUCACACAGAACACCGAUUGCGAAGGCAGCACACUAAGUCAUUAUUGACGCUGAGGCACGAAAGUGUGGGGAUCAAACAGGAUUAGAUACCCUGGUAGUCCACACUGUAAACGAUGAUAACUCGCUGUCGGCGAUACACAGUCGGUGCCAAGCGAAAGC